UCCCAGGUAGCUCAGUUGGCUAGAGCGUCCGGCUGUUACUCUGAUCACAAUCAUCAACAAAAACCGGGAGGUCCGUGGUUCAAGCCCACGUUUGGGAGACA
rnacentral:tRNA from 1 species